GACGUAGGGCGCAAGCGUUGUCCGGAUUUAUUGGGCGUAAAGAGCUCGUAGGCGGCUUGUCGCGUCGGCUGUGAAAUCCCGUGGCUCAACUGCGGGUCUGCAGCCGAUACGGGCAGGCUAGAGUUCGGUAGGGGAGACUGGAAUUCCUGGUGUAGCGGUGAAAUGCGCAGAUAUCAGGAGGAACACCGAUGGCGAAGGCAGGUCUCUGGGCCGAUACUGACGCUGAGGAGCGAAAGCGUGGGGAGCGAACAGG
rnacentral:rRNA from 1 species